rnacentral:rRNA from 1 species
GAUCCUGGCUCAGGAUGAACGCUAGCGGCAGGCUUAACACAUGCAAGUCGAGGGGCAGCAUGAAGGUUAGCAAUAACUUUUGAUGGCGACCGGCGCAAGGGUGCGUAACGCGUGAGCAACUUGCCCGUUUCAGGGGGAUAACCGGUGGAAACGCCGACUAAUACCCCAUAGCAUUGGUUUGAGGCAUCUCUUACCAAUUAAAGAAUUUCGGAAACGGAUAGGCUCGCGUGACAUUAGCUAGAUGGCGGGGUAACGGCCCACCAUGGCGACGAUGUCUAGGGGUUCUGAGAGGAAGGUCCCCCACACUGGAACUGAGACACGGUCCAGACUCCUACGGGAGGCAGCAGUGAGGAAUAUUGGUCAAUGGUCGAGAGACUGAACCAGCCAUGCCGCGUGAAGGUCACGGCCCUAUGGGUCUUAAACUUCUUUUGUAAGGGAGCAAUAAGUCUCACGUGUGGGAUGAUGAGAGUACCUUACGAAUAAGCAUCGGCUAACUCCGUG